rnacentral:rRNA from 1 species
GACGAACGCUGGCGGCGUGCCUAAUACAUGCAAGUCGAACGCAGUGGGGACGGGUGAGUAACACGUGGGUAACCUCCCAUCAGAGGGGAUAACACUUGGAAACAGGUGCUAAACCGAUACUGAUGGAUGGACCCGCGGUGCAUUAACUAGUUGGUGAGGUAACAGCUCACCAAGGCCACGAUGCAUAGCCGACCUGAGAGGGUGGACUGCAACACGAGGACUAGGAAACCGCCCAGAAUCCUACGGGAGGCACGAGGAGGGAAGCAUCGGCAAUGGACGAAAAUAUGACCGGGCAACGCCGCGUGAGUGAAGAAGGUUUUCGGAUCGAAAAACUCUAUUGUUAGAGAAGCGGUAUCUAACCAGAAAGCCGCGGCUAACUACGUGCCAGCAGCAGCGGUAAUAC